ACGGUGUGUGGGUGAAGCCUCCCCCUCGACUGCACACUCACACAGCCGGGCCGUGCAGCAGUGACGAUAGGGGGAGUCUGCUGUUAAUAAAUACUGCUUGUAAACAUUGGAGGGUCGCCAACUCUCGCGAGAACGGCCAAGCGUGUUGAGCCAACAGCUGCCAUGAACGAGAGAAAUAUCCCUCGCAAAACACAGCUAAAAGUUGGGUGUGCAACCAUAAUGAAGGAUCCCUAAAUUCCCCUCCCACCACCAGGUUCACCAUCGCCGAGCCAAGACAGAUCGGAACAAGAGUGGAGACUAACAGGAAAAUUCAACGUCUACAUGAUGAUAAAAGCGGCUCCUUCAGAAAUAAGAGGAAAUCUGCUCUGGAGCAAAACUGGUGAUAUUCGACAGGCAAACCCACGGUUAUUCAAAAGCUCCUCUUCACUGUCGACAUCGAAGGUAGGUUCACCUGUGACGUUGAAUGGACAACCUGCAAGCGACAAAAAAAUCAAGAUACAACAUGAAGAGCCAAUAGUUAUUGAGCACAUGACAUGACAUUGUGACAUUGUGGUCAUACUUUUUGUACAGUUGUACAGCUGAUUAACAGCAAUGAUGACUGAGUCAGCGUCCGUCAGAUACUCUUCCACAAAGGAGCUGUU